rnacentral:rRNA from 1 species
AUUGAACGCUGGCGGCAGGCCUAACACAUGCAAGUCGAACGAGCGGCGGACGGGUGAGUAAUGUCUGGGAAACUGCCUGAUGGAGGGGGAUAACUACUGGAAACGGUAGCUAAUACCGCAUACCAUCAGACGCGCCCAGAUGGGAUUAGCUAGUCGGUGGGGUAAUGGCUCACAUAGGCGACGAUCCCUCGCUGGUCUGAGAGGAUGACCAGCCACACGGGAACUGAGACACGGUCCAGACUCCUACGGGAGGCAGCAGUGGGGAAUAUUGCACAAUGGGCGCAAGCCUGAUGCAGCCAUGCCGCGUGUAUGAAGAAGGCCUUCGGGUUGUAAAGUACUUUCAGCGGGGAGGCGUUACCCGCAGAAGAAGCACCGGCUAACUCCGUGCCAGCAGCCGCGGUAAUUC